UGUAGAUGAUAUAAUAGUGGCUGGAAAUUGUGUCGAUAUCACCAAUGAUCUUAAAAUCUACCUCAGUGACAAGUUCAAAAUUAAGGAUCUAGGUAAGUUGAAAUACUAUUUAGGGAUUGAAGUAGCAAGGACUAAACAUGGCAUCGAUAUAUGUCAACGAAAAUAUGCUCUAGAUAUCUUGGCAGAUUCAAACACCAUUGGUUCGGUUCCUACUAGAAUUUUCCUUGAUCAAAAUGCGAAACUCAGCAAGGAUGAAGGAGAACUUCUCACAGAUCCAUUACUUUAGAGAAGGUUACUUUAUCUGACAAUCACCAAACCUGAUCUUGUGUAUUUCAAUUCAAAUGUUAAGUCAGUACAUGGAUAAUCCUAGAAUUCUAUAUCUACAUACUGCUCAUAAGGUAUUGCAAUAUAUCAAAAGGGAAGCUGGACAAGGGUUGUUCUAUCCCACAAAUUCAAAGCUAAAAUUGGAAUGCUACUGUUAUUCAGAUUAGGGGGCUUGUUUGGACACCAGGAGGUCAAUAACAGGAUACUGUGUAUUCAUUGGGAUAGUUGUAGUAUCAUGGAAGUCGAACAAAUAGCAUGUUGUAUCUCGAUCUUCUACUGAGGCGAAAUACAAGGCAAUGGCAAAUCUUUGUUGUGAGUUAACUUGGCUUAGGUUCUUGUUUAAGGAUUUGUUGAUUGAUCAUCCUCAAGUGGCAAUUCUGAAUCGUGAUAAUAAGGCAGCAAUUCAUAUAGCCACAAAUCCAGUUUUCCAUUAAAGGACCAAAUACAUAGAGCUUGAUUGCUAUUUUAUUUGAGACAAGAUACAAGAUGACAAUAUUGUCACCCAACACGUUCCUAGUACAUCACAAAAUUGUAGAUAUUUUAACCAAGGCCUUAAAUUCCCAAGGUUUUUAUUUUUGUACGUCCAAGAUGAGAGUAAUGGAUAUAUACUCUCCAUCUUGCGGGGCUGUUGAAGCUCGAAAAAGAUCCAGCAUUGGCAAAAGGCAAUCAUG
rnacentral:lncRNA from 1 species